UACAGAGGUCUCAACCGUUGUUCGGAUUCAUUGGGCGUAAAGAGCGUGUAGGCGGCCAGGCAGGUCUGUUGUGAAAACUGGAGGCUCAACUUCCAGACGUCGACAGAAACCGCUUGGCUAGAGUCCGGAAGAGGAGAGUGGAAUUCCUGGUGUAGCGGUGGAAUGCGCAGAGUAUCAGGAGGAACACCUAAGGCGAAGGCAGCUCGCUGGAACGGUACUGACGCUGAGGCGCGAAAGCGUGGGGAGCAAACAGG
rnacentral:rRNA from 1 species